rnacentral:rRNA from 1 species
GGAAACUGCCUGAUGGAGGGGGAUAACUACUGGAAACGGUAGCUAAUACCGCAUAACGUCGCAAGACCAAAGAGGGGGACCUUCGGGCCUCUUGCCAUCAGAUGUGCCCAGAUGGGAUUAGCUAGUAGGUGGGGUAACGGCUCACCUAGGCGACGAUCCCUAGCUGGUCUGAGAGGAUGACCAGCCACACUGGAACUGAGACACGGUCCAGACUCCUACGGGAGGCAGCAGUGGGGAAUAUUGCACAAUGGGCGCAAGCCUGAUGCAGCCAUGCCGCGUGUAUGAAGAAGGCCUUCGGGUUGUAAAGUACUUUCAGCGGGGAGGAAGGGAGUAAAGUUAAUACCUUUGCUCAUUGACGUUACCCGCAGAAGAAGCACCGGCUAACUCCGUGCCAGCAGCCGCGGUAAUACGGAGGGUGCAAGCGUUAAUCGGAAUUACUGGGCGUAAGCGCACGCAGGCGGUUUGUUAAGUCAGAUGUGAAAUCCCCGGGCUCAACCUGGGAACUGCAUCUGAUACUGGCAAGCUUGAGUCUCGUAGAGGGGGGUAGAAUUCCAGGUGUAGCGGUGAAAUGCGUAGAGAUCUGGAGGAAUACCGGUGGCGAAGGCGGCCCCCUGGACGAAGACUGACGCUCAGGUGCGAAAGCGUGGGGAGCAAACAGGAUUAGAUACCCUGGUAGUCCACGCCGUAAACGAUGUCGACUUGGAGGUUGUGCCCUUGAGGCGUGGCUUCCGGAGCUAACGCGUUAAGUCGACCGCCUGGGGAGUACGGCCGCAAGGUUAAAACUCAAAUGAAUUGACGGGGGCCCGCACAAGCGGUGGAGCAUGUGGUUUAAUUCGAUGCAACGCGAAGAACCUUACCUGGUCUUGACAUCCACGGAAGUUUUCAGAGAUGAGAAUGUGCCUUCGGGAACCGUGAGACAGGUGCUGCAUGGCUGUCGUCAGCUCGUGUUGUGAAAUGUUGGGUUAAGUCCCGCAACGAGCGCAACCCUUAUCCUUUGUUGCCAGCGGUCCGGCCGGGAACUCAAAGGAGACUGCCAGUGAUAAACUGGAGGAAGGGUGGGGGAUGACGUCAAGUCAUCAUGGCCCUUC